UCCAGACUCCUACGGGAGGCAGCAGUGGGGAAUAUUGCACAAUGGGGGGAACCCUGAUGCAGCAACGCCGCGUGAGUGAAGAAGUCAUUCGUGAUGUAAAGCUCUAUCAGCAGGGAAGAAAAUGACGGUACCUGAGUAAGAAGCCCCGGCUAACUACGUGCCAGCAGCCGCGGUAAUACGUAGGGGGCAAGCGUUAUCCGGAUUUACUGGGUGUAAAGGGUGCGUAGACGGGAAUGCAAGUUAGUUGUGAAAUCCCUCGGCUUAACUGAGGAACUGCAACUAAAACUACAUUUCUUGAGUGCUGGAGAGGAAAGUGGAAUUCCUGGUGUAGCGGUGAAAUGCGUAGAUAUUAGGAGGAACACCAGUGGCGAAGGCGACUUUCUGGACAGUAACUGACGUUGAGGCACGAAAGUGUGGGGAGCAAACAGGAUUAGAUACCCGCGUA
rnacentral:rRNA from 1 species